rnacentral:rRNA from 1 species
UACGAAGGGGGCUAGCGUUGCUCGGAAUCACUGGGCGUAAAGGGUGCGUAGGCGGGUCUUUAAGUCAGGGGUGAAAUCCUGGAGCUCAACUCCAGAACUGCCUUUGAUACUGAGGAUCUUGAGUUCGGGAGAGGUGAGUGGAACUGCGAGUGUAGAGGUGAAAUUCGUAGAUAUUCGCAAGAACACCCGUGGCGAAGGCGGCUCUCUGGUACGUGACUGACGCUGAGACGCGAAAGCGUGGGGAGCGAACAGG